rnacentral:rRNA from 1 species
CGUGAAACCGUUUAGGGGUAAACCUGAGAAACCCGAAAGGUCGAAGGGAGAAAUUCAUUCGCGUUUCGACGUAGGCGUCGGACGGGGUCGUGCGACGAGACACGUUCUUCGGAGCGAGUUUCGCGCCCUCCGUUCUUCGAACCGGCGACGAACGCGUGCACUUUUCUCCUGGUAGGACGUCGCGAUCCGUCGGGUGUCGGUCUACGACUUGCGGUGGAGACCGUCCGUCGUCUUGUACGUACGGACGGACCCGUUUGUUCCGGCCGACUCGCUCGACGGUAUACGUAAGGUCAGAGGCCGCUCGUUUAUUAGAAGCGUUCGACUCGACGCAAGCGCGCCAUGUGCGUCGGCACGCGGACCCAGUGCCGCGUCCGACCUCUGGUGACUGUUGGCGACGAUGUUCUCGGACAGACCUCUUUAUGACCGAUCGGCGACGCUAUAGCUUUGGGUACUUUCAGGACCCGUCUUGA